GACGAACGCUGGCGGCGUGCUUAACACAUGCAAGUCGAGCGGUAAGGCCCUUUCGGGGGUACGACGAGCGGCGAACGGGUGAGUAACACGUGGGUGACCUGCCCUCCAGCUCUGGGAUAAGCCUGGGAAACCGGGUCUAAUACCGGAUAUGACUCCAUGACGCAUGUUGUGGGGUGGAAAGCCUUGUGCGGCUGAGGAUGGGCCCGCGGCCUAUCAGCUUGUUGGUGGGGUGAUGGCCUACCAAGGCGACGACGGGUAGCCGGCCUGAGAGGGCGACCGGCCACACUGGGACUGAGACACGGCCCAGACUCCUACGGGAGGCAGCAGUGGGGAAUCUUGCGCAAUGGGCGAAAGCCUGACGCAGCGACGCCGCGUGAGGGAUGAC
rnacentral:rRNA from 1 species